GCAGCCUUUCCUCGGUCCUAGACCAGCGACUUGCCCUGCCUGUGAGCCCUCUGUCUGGAAGAACGGCCCCUUGCCUUCUCCUUCCUCCCUGUCAGUGGUCAGCUCCUAUCCCCUUCCUCCCAUCCACAGCUUUGAGAGAGCAAACAGCCCUGUCCCGUGCGCAGGGCUCCGGAGUUCAUCACAGAGCAGACCCACAGGACUCUCCCUUGAAACCUGCCACUCCUGAAGCCACCAAGAGGAAGAAAGAGCCAAGCAGGGGAGGCAGAAGGCGAUGCAGGAAAGGCUUCCUCUUGCAGCAGAGGCCCUGGCCAGCUGGUAGGACAGCGGCGGGCCCUGGGGCGAGGCCAAGACUUUCCUCCUGCUCCACACACUCCAGCUGUGUGACUCUGCUUCCAGAGAAUGGCAUGGGCGUGAAGGGCCAGCAUAACAGCAACCCAUGCCCCUGAGAGGCAGGGCCCCAAUGCUCCCAGAACCCACAGGGCCUCUGCCCUGGCCUCAGCCGGGAGCAUGGAUGACAGCUCCUGGGAUUGUCUAAUAGCCAGUGGAAUCCAAAUUCCUGCCUCUCGUUCUCAAACCAGGAGUUUAUGUAUUAUAUUAGCUCUUAUGCCACAUUAAUUUUCUUUCUUUGCUUUUCUUUCUUUUUUUUUCUUUUCCUUCGUUUUUGAUGGCACUGGUUGAUAAAUCCGGGCCAGUUAUCCUG
rnacentral:lncRNA from 1 species